GCAGUCACCUGGGCUUCACAACCACCUGGCUUGGUGGGCCUGCGCUGGUCCCAGCUCCCUGUCUGUAGAGUGGGGAUGGCAGCACCACCUCCUGGGUGUCCCUGAGAUGACAAGUGUAAAGAGGCCAGCAGUGGGCCUGGCACAUGCAGGGCAUGCAGGAGAGGUUCGCAGUCACCUUCUUCUUCCACCCCACCCUCACUCCACACAUCACACUCUCCUCCCUUCCUCCUCUGUCCCCUGGUCUGACUUCCUGUCCUUUCACUUGACCAUCAGCUCUGGCCUCACAUCCAGGGCUUCACCUUGUGACCCCGAGUCCCUGCUGCCCGGGCUUCCCUCUGUCCACUCCAGAGCCCCUGGAAUGUGCCCGUGUAGUCUUUUCCUUUUAUUCACAUAGAACGUAUGGGUCCUCAGCUCGCUUACAGACUAUCUCGCAAGGACCAAGAGCUGGGUGGUAGGUGCUGUCUGUGACAUUUUGGUGAAUGGCCAACAUUUCUGAGGAAUGAAUUGGACGCAGACUCAGCUCUUGAGGUAUUCCCUGUCCCACGGCUGAAGGACCAAACAGGUAACUGGACACCUCCAGUUACUCCUUCAGCAAGUGGUUUUUGACCUACUGUGUGCCAGAUGAUCAAGACAGAUGCAGCUUCUGGUGUUGCAUGAAGGCCACUACAGAACCGUGUAAGUGAGAUCACUGGGCUUCUCAUCCAGCCCUGGGGGGUGGGGUGGCCCAGGGCUGACUUGUCCAGAGAAGUGACAGGUGAGGCCAUGAGGCGGAGUUGUGAGCACUGGGGUGAGAGCAGCAAGGGGUGUCGCAGGCCUGGGGAGGGGAGAAAGCAGAACUCUCAGCAGUGCAGAUGGACGCAGGCUUGCUGCAGAGGACGGGGUGCUGAAAGGUGAAGCUGAAAGGCCGUGGCAGCUCCUCCCGGAAGCCAUGGUCUGGGUCAGUGGUUCUCAAGGUAUGCUCCCUGGACCAGCAACACCAGCACCUGCUGGAAAUUUGUUAGAAAUGCAAACUCUCAGGCCCCACCCUACACCUACUGAAGCAAACGCUGGGAGCAGUGCCCAGCACCCUGCAUUUUAACAAGCCCUCCACGUGGUUCUGGUGCUCACUCCAGGUUGAGGGGCACCCAUCUAAACCAUGUCCAAGAGCUGGCUGUCUCCUGAAGUGGUGGGGAGUCACUGCAGGGUUCAGGCAGGAGAGGGCCUGGGGGAAAUGGGCACUGCGGAGCAUGGACAGAUGAGCAGGAGCACAGCACAGGAGAGAGCACACUGGCAAGCAUGCUGACAGGGGCCCAGGUGAGGGACGACAGUGGCCCAGCCAAGGCAGUGUGGCACGGGGACGAAAAGAAGUGGACAGAUGAAGGCACACUGCCCUGAAGGGGAAGAAUGCUCACCUAGUUCGUAGGAUGAUUGCAAGAACUGUGUGGUGUCCAGCCCUUGGGCAGGGAGCACCCUGGAGACAGACACUCAUUGGUGCAUCCCCAGCUCCAAAGCCACUGUCGUCAGCGCUGAUGUUUGGUGGGACAUCUCCAAGCCCUUUGCCUGGAUUAGCAGUGACCUUCAGCACAGUAACUGAAGGGGAAACUAAAGCAACAUGGAGGUGAAGAAACUCGCCCCCAGGGUCUCACUGUCAUCCCCCUGUG
rnacentral:lncRNA from 1 species